CCUACGGGAGGCAGCAGUGAGGAAUAUUGGUCAAUGGCCGUAAGCCUGAACCAGCCAAGUCGCGUGAAGGAAGAAUGAUCUAUGGUUUGUAAACUUCUUUUAUAGGGGAAUAAAGGUAUCCACGUGUGGAUAUUUGCAUGUACCCUAUGAAUAAGCAUCGGCUAACUCCGUGCCAGCAGCCGCGGUAAUACGGAGGAUGCGAGCGUUAUCCGGAUUUAUUGGGUUUAAAGGGUGCGUAGGUUGUUUUUUAAGUCAGCGGUGAAAGUUUGUGGCUCAACCAUAAAAUUGCCGUUGAAACUGGAAGACUUGAGUGUGUUUGAGGUAGGCGGAAUGCGUGGUGUAGCGGUGAAAUGCAUAGAUAUCACGCAGAACUCCGAUUGCGAAGGCAGCUUACUAGGCCAUAACUGACACUGAAGCACGAAAGCGUGGGGAUCAAACAGGAUUAGAUACCCUGGUAGUC
rnacentral:rRNA from 1 species